rnacentral:piRNA from 1 species
UGCCUCACUCGCUCUUUGAUUUGUGUCUA